rnacentral:lncRNA from 1 species
AUCCUCAGGCACUUUACCUUCUCCACCUCCAAUAAGAAGCAUCUCCUUCACUGGCCUGGGGAGGAGCAAGCUGGAAUUCUUUAAAGCCCUCUACCUGCCAGGCAGCAGCGAAGUCCAAGUGGGCAGAAUGCAGGGGUGGGAAUUAGGUGGCCAGGGGCCCCAGAGACCCAGUCCUGACUCUUGUACACUCUUGGAACCUUCUGUGUGCCUUCCUUUCCCUCCUCCAGCAAGAACCCCUCCAUGUGCCCAGCCACCUCCCAGGAUACUCCUAGGAAAGACCAAAGAGGACCUCUUGAAAGGGCUGGCUCUCACUCCAGAUAAUUGGUUUAUGAGCAGAAACCAUCGCUUAAGAGACACUCACCAUCAACAUGAAUCACAGGGCACAGAGCACCAUGAACUCAGAGCACUCACUUCUACACACCCUCUCGAACCAAACAUGAACCCCAGCUACAUAUGGUAAUGAGAGCUACUAGCAAGCAGAGAUGGGGGUUCAGGCUUGAAGUCUAACCCUGAGCAAAUGUUCCCACUUCACCAAGGAGAACACUGCAGUGGUGUGCUUAGGUAUGGAAUCGCCACAUCAAAUCCACUGGCAAGACUGGAUGUUCUUGGAAAAUGUUGAACAUGAAUCUUCUCCUCAUCUCCAGUAUCGACACCUAGCUGAGGCCACCAUCAUUUCUUGGGUUUGGGUGGACAAUUGCAACAGCCAACUAUGACUGCUUUGAUUUUCUCUAUAACUCCAGCUAAUCCAUCCUCCACUCCACAGCCCAAAUGAUCACUUCAAAAUUCACAGUAGAUAAUGACACCACAGUGGAAAAUGUUGAUUGCUUUCUACUUAGCAUAAAGCCCAUAUUCUUUACUGUGGCCUACAAGACCCUUAGUGCAAUCCUCUCUUGAUGGGCUCCUCAUUUUUUAAGUCUCAGGUUAAAUUAGUGGUUCUCAAAAGGGAGGAAUUUUGCCCUUUAUGAGACAUUUGGCAAUGUUAGGAGAUAUUUUUCGUUGUCAUAAAUGGAAGCCAGGGCGUGCCACUGGCAUCCAGUGGUCAGAGGCCAGGGAUGCUGUUGGACAUUCUGCAAUGCACAGAAUAGUCCCCCAUAGCAAAGAAUUAUCUGACCCAAAAUGUCAGUAGUGCCAACGUUGAGAAAUCCUGGAGUGACUUCAUCUGACCAUUUUUAUCUCAAAUUGAUUCCCAUCCCCUACAAUCUUCACACCUCUAACCACAAUUUGCAAUUAUCUUCUUAUUGUUAUUUACAAACGUGUAAGCACCACAUACCGGGCGAGAGACAAAGCACGUCUCUCAACUUUGUUGUCUCAACACAUACCACUUAGUAGAUACUCAAUAAACAUUCGUGGGAAGAAGAAGGGCAGGAAAGGGGAAGGGCAUGGAGAAAGGCAGUCAAGGUUACGCAGCACCCCCACCCUUCUGAGCCACUUUCAUCUUCAUGUGGAAAACCUGCCAUUUGACUUGGCUGGUUGCACUGAUAAUGUUUUACUGGAGAAUGAGCCAGUAGACUAGGAAACACUUUAAAAAUCAAUUGUGAGGCAGGGUGGGGGUGGGGGCAUUGGCAAGAAAAUGUUGACAUUUCUUCAGUAUUGACUUUGCUUUUGUCAAACAAGUCCUCUUGAAGGGAGGGACCAUGUCUAUUUCAGUCCCCGCUGUAGCCCCAGCACCUUUCAUAGUGCGUAGCACGGAGAUAGUGGGUUCCCCAAAAGUGUUUGUGAAUGUGUGAGUACUCCCCCACCUGCAGGGGAGGGAGCGCUGAUACCUCAUCGCACUCACUUCUUUGGCAGCUCAUGAACCCACUUAUGAAGCCAGCCUUCAGGUCAGACUCUUGCUUUUCUUCUUAUUAGUGGCCCUUAAAAGAGCAUUGCCAAUAAAAACUUCAGCUCUGGAAAAGAAUUCUAUCCUUUGUCGGCUAUUUCCGACAGCCUUUGAAAGAAAAAUAAAUUUGGCUCCAAGUUUUCCCAUGUCUGUUUAUAAUUCCUCACACAAAGCUCAGCUGUUUAUACAAUUCUGUCACCUAGAGACCCAGCUAACUCUGUCUCAAAGGUAGCCUCUCCCGUCCCCACCUCAUCAGCCUCCACUCCAACUUCCUCCUCCCCACUUAGGUCUUCCAAGAACCCACGAGGAUAAGCUGCAGGCUGUGAGGUUUCUACAGUGCACUCCUUCCUGGAAUGACUCUGCCUAAAUUUCACUCUUAAGCCUCAGACUCAUGUUAUCUUAUUAGCAACACAAAAUGGAAAAGACUGAACUCUUUCAGUUUAAUCUGCUGAGUUUCCGAGGCUUCAGGGAACUCCUCCAAAAAAUGUCUUUUGUUAAAGGAAGUUAAAAAAAAAAAAAAGCCCAACAUACUAUUGGGCAUAAAUCUACUCAUCUAAUUUAGAUUGUAGAAACCUAUUGACUAGGUUCUCACGCCUGUCACUUUUCCCCUAUAGAGACUACAAAUAUCACUGCCAUUAGGAAAUUUUACAUCUUAAAACUCACUACUACGAUCCCACUCUUAGAUUUUCCUUCUCUCUCUCGCUCUUUUCUCCUUUCUCUUACAUGCACACAAAAUUUGUUCUUUAUUCUCAUUAGCGCCAUCUGGUGGUGUUUCAAGUAUUCCAGUAUCCUUUAAAAAACUAUUAGAAAAAAAAGAUUGAAGACCCCAAAGAGCACCUGAGUAUGUGUCAUAUCUAUCACAGUUAUCCUAUUCAAAAAUGAAACUGGCCAAGCAAGGUGGCUCACGCCUGUAUUCCCAUCACUUUGAGAGGCCAAGUUGGGUGGAUCACUUGAGGUCAGGAGUUUGAGACCAGCCUGGCCAACAUGGUGAAACCCCCAUCUCUACUAAAAAUACAAAAAUUAGCAAGGUGCGGUGGCAGGCACCUGUAAUCCUAGCUACUCAGGAGACUGAGGCAGGAGAAUCACUGGAACCCGAGAGGCAGAGGUUGCAGUGAGCUGAUAUCACACCACUGCACUCCAGCCUGGGCGACUUCAUCUCAAAAAAAAAAAGAAAAAAUGAAACCAAUAAAUUUUGGAAAACAUUCAUUGAUCCAUUGCAAAACAUAAUAAGCCCAUUAAAUGUCUAACAUAGAUAACAAAUUUUAAUGAAAAAAAUCAGUAUUAUUUUACAUUUUUGCACUUCUCUUUAAUGUCUGACUUAAAAGACACCUACAUUUUCAUAUCUGCUUAUGUAUUCAAUCUGUUCUAAUAUCUUGUUUUGGUUGAAACAUAUGAAGAAAGUCUGGCCUCACACAGAUACGUAGUUGGAAAAAAAACACACCAGUAUUUUAAUACCCUUUUAAAAUCAUUGUGGGUAUUCUUCUCUGAUACUAUUCCAAAUCUCUACAAGUUAUGAUGUCUUAAAAGUUAGUUGACAGCGGGGCAUGGUGGCUCACGCCUGUAAUCCCAGCACUUUGGGAGGCUAGGGCAGGCAGAUCACAAGGUCAGGAGAUGGAGACCAUCCUGGCCAACAUGGUGAAACCCCGUCUCUACUAAAAAUACAAAAAUUAGCGGGUGUGGAGUCCCAGCUACUCUGGAGGGUGAGGCAGGAGAAUUGCUCGAACCUGGAGGUGGAAGUUGCAGUGAGCCGAGACGACACCACUGCAUUCCAGCCUGGGCAACAGAGCAAGACUCUGUCUCAGGGGUGGUGAGGGGGAGGGAAAGUUAGUUGGAAUGGGGACUCUGAAACCACAUCCAUGAACUUUUGGUACUGUUAUGUUAAAACCUGCUGUUCUAUCUUGGAUUUUGAAUGCAUUUUUGAAUGCAUGAUUUUGUAAUCUCAUUCACUGCCAUUAGGGAAAUAUUGGUUCCUUGAGUAAUACAGAUCUUCAAUGUUGACACAUUUCAUGAUAUGCCAUCAAAAAAUCACAUUUACUGAUACAGUUGCCCAUUUCCUUAAAAAAAUCUUUAGUUGUGAAGAAACUGCCAAGGCCAGAUGUGGUGAGGGCUCAUGCCUGUAAUCCCAGCAGGGGAGCCUGAAGCAGGUGGAUUGCUUGAGCUCAGGAGUUUGAGAACAGUUUAGCAAGGUCCCAUCGAAAGAAAAGAAAAGAAAAAAGAAAGAACAGACUAGCCAGGCAUGGUGGCUUGUGCCUGUAGUCCCUGUAGUCCCAGCUACUUCAGAGGCUCAGGCAGGAGAAUUGCUUCGGCCCAGGAGAUCAAGGCUACAGUGAGC